CGAACGGGUGAGUAACACGUGGGCAACCUGCCCAAAAGAGGGGGAUAACACUUGGAAACAGGUGCUAAUACCGCAUAACCAUAGUUACCGCAUGGUAACUAUGUAAAAGGUGGCUAUGCUACCGCUUUUGGAUGGGCCCGCGGCGCAUUAGCUAGUUGGUGGGGUAAAGGCUUACCAAGGCAAUGAUGCGCAGCCGAACUGAGAGGUUGAUCGGCCACAUUGGGACUGAGACACGGCCCAAACUCCUACGGAAGGCAGCAG
rnacentral:rRNA from 1 species